AGGGUUUAUGGUGGAUGCCUGGGAGCUGUACGGCGAUGAAGGCCGUGAUAAGCUGCGAAAAGCCGCGGAGAGGAGCACAUAUCCUGUGACCCGCGGAUGGCCGAAUGGGGUAACCCACCUGAACAAUCAGGGACUGUACGCUGAAUACAUAGGCGUACGAGAGCGACACCCGGGGAACUGAACCAUCUCAGUACCCGGAGGAAAAGAAAUCAAACGAGAUUCCGCAAGUAGUGGCGAGCGAACGCGGAGGAGCCCAAACUCAAGCGCAUGUAAGGUUCACGCCGUUGUGCGCUGGGGGUAGCAGGUGUUACACGGAGCGACGUGAAUGAGCUCGUGAAGUAGAAAAACCGUCAGGGUAGCGGAAAGGCAUGGAACGGCCUGCCAGAGGGGGUGAGAGCCCCGUACGCGAAACCUACUGAUGGCUUCAUGGUGUAACGACCUAAGUACGGCGAGGCCAGAGAAACCUUGUCGGAAGCAGGGUCUACCACGAUCCAAGGCUAAAUACGAUACAGCUACCGAUAGCGGAGAAGUACCGUGAGGGAAAGGCGAAAAGAACCCCGGUGAGGGGAGUGAAAGAGAACCUGAAACCAUAAACCCACAACAGGUCAGAGCUGGCGCAAGCUGGUGAUGGCGUGCCUUUUGUAGAAUGAGCCUGCGAGUUACGAUAUGUUGCGAGGUUAAGGGAUAGGAGUCCCGGAGCCGUAGGGAAACCGAGUCUUAAGAGGGCGAAAUGAGUAGCAUGUCGUAGACCCGAAGCCAGGUGAUCUUACCAUGGUCAGGUUGAAGCUCAGGUAACACUGAGUGGAGGACCGAACCCUAGUGUGAUGAAAAACGCAGGGAUGAACUGUGGUAAGGGGUGAAAGGCUAAUCAAACCUGGAAAUAGCUGGCACUCCCCGAAAUGCCUUGAGGGACAGCCUCAUACAAAUGUCAUGGGGGUAGAGCACUGUAUGGACUAGGGCCCUUCACCGGGUACCAAACCCAAGCAAACUCCGAAUACCAUGACACAACGUAUGGGAGUGAGACUGCGUGCGACAAGGUUCGUAGUCGAGAGGGAAACAGCCCAGACCAACAGCUAAGGUCCCUAAAUAUCGCUCAGUGUGAAAUGAUGUGCGGUUGCACAGACAGCCAGGAGGUUGGCUUAGAAGCAGCCAUUCCUUUAAAGAGUGCGUAAUAGCUCACUGGUCGAGCAAUCGUGCGCAAACAAUGUAACGGGGCUAAGCGAUAUACCGAAGCUUUGGGUUCUAUGAGCAAUCAUAGGGCGGUAGGGGAGCAUUCCGUGGACCGGCGAAGGUGAUCUGAGAGGGUUGCUGGAGGGGACGGAAGAGAGAAUGCAGGUAUAAGUACACGAAAAGACGGGUGAGAUUCCCGUCCGCCGAAAACCUAAGGUUUCCUGGGUAAAGGUCAUCUGCCCAGGGUGAGUCGGCCCCUAAGGUGAGGCUGAAAAGCGUAGCCGAUGGGAAACUGGUUCAUAUUCCAGUACCAUAUAUAGACGUCUUAUGGGAUGACGCAUGAGGUGAAACCCGGCCGGAGAACGGUUGUUCCGGUCGAAGCAGUAAGCUUGAGAAGCUUCCAGGCAAAUCCGGGAGCAGAGGUGAGCUGUGACAGCGAGUGGAGCUACGGCGAAACGAAGCGGGCGUAAUCAUGGUGCCAAGAAAGAAUCUCUACAGGUUAAGUCUAUGUAUGACCGUACCGCAAACCGACACAGGUAGGUGGGAUGAGUAAUCUAAGGCGCUCGAGAUAACUCGCGUUAAGGAACUCGGCAAAAUGCACACGUAACUUCGGGAGAAGUGUGGCCUACCCUUGUUAAGCAAUUAGUGAGGGAGGUUGCAGAUGAGAGGCCCAGGCGACUGUUUACCAAAAACACAGGUCUCUGCGAACGCGCAAGCGGAAGUAUAGGGACUGACGCCUGCCCGGUGCCGGAAGGUUAAGAGGAGGAGUUAGCCGCAAGGCGAAGCCCUGAAUCGAAGCCCCGGUAAACGGCGGCCGUAACUAUAACGGUCCUAAGGUAGCGAAAUUCCUUGUCAGGUAAGUUCUGACCCGCACGAAUGGUGGAACGAUCUGGGCACUGUCUCAACGCGAGACUCGGUGAAAUUUAUGUACCGGUAAAGAAGCCGGUUACCCGUGGUUAGACGGAAAGACCCCAUGAACCUUUACUGUAACUUACUAUUGGUACUUGGUUUGACAUGUGUAGGAUAGGUGGGAGACAGCGAAGCAUGGCCGCCAGGCUGUGUGGAGUCGUCGGUGAAAUACCACUCUUGUCAAGCUAGGUAUCUAACCGUGUUCGUCAAUCCGGGCAUGGGACAGUGGUAGGCAGGCAGUUUGACUGGGGCGGUCGCCUCCUAAAUGGUAACGGAGGUGCGCGAAGGUCGCCUCGCACUGGUUGGAAAUCAGUGCAUGAGUGUAAAGGCAUAAGGCGGCUUGACUGCGAGUCCGACAGGACGAGCAGGUACGAAAGUAGGUCUUAGUGAU
rnacentral:rRNA from 1 species